rnacentral:rRNA from 1 species
GUUAAAAAGCUCGUAGUUGGAUUUCUGUCGGUGAGUGAAAGUCCGCUCUCAGUGGUUGGUACUUUUCACGCCACCGGCAUCUUCCUGGGGAUUGUGUCUGCUCUUUGUUGAGUGGCGCAUAAUCCAGGACUUUUACUUUGAAGAAAUGAGAGUGUUUCAAGCAGGCCAUCGCCGUGAAUACGUUAGCAUGGAAUAAUAGCAUCGGACCUCGUUCCAAAGCUGUUGGUUUCUUGGACCGAGGUAAAGGUGAAUAGGGAUUGUUGGGGGCAUUCGUAUUUAACUGUCAGAGGUGAAAUUCUUGGAUUUGUUGAAGACGGACUACUGCGAAAGCAUCUGCCAAAGAUGUUCUCAUUGAUCAAGAACGAAAGUUAGGUGAUCGAAGACGAUCAGAUACCGUCCUAGUCUUAACCAUAAACUAUGCCGACUGGAGAUCGGGGGUCGUUAACUUUGUGACGCCCUCUGCAUCUUGAGAGAAAUCAAAGUCUUUGGGUUCCGGGGGGAGUAUGGUCGCAAGGCUGAAACUUAAAGGAAUUGACGGAAGGGCACCACCAGGAGUGGAGCCUGCGGCUUAAUUUGACUCAACACGGGGAAACUUACCAGGUCCAGACAUAGUAAGGAUUGACAGACUGAUAGCUCUUUCGAGAUUCUAUGGGUGGUGGUGCAUGGCCGUUCUUAGUUGGUGGAGUGAUUUGUCUGGUUAAUUCCGUUAA